rnacentral:rRNA from 1 species
AACCUCGACCCAAGAGAGUCGGGAUAACACCUAGGAAACAGAUGCUAAUACCGGAUAACAACAGAUGAUGCCUAUCAACUGUUUAAAAGAUGGUUCUGCUAUCACUCUUGGAUGGACCUGCGGUGCAUUAGCUAGUUGGUAGGGUAACGGCCUACCAAGGCGAUGAUGCAUAGCCGAGUUGAGAGACUGAUCGGCCACAUUGGGACUGAGACACGGCCCAAACUCCUACGGGAGGCAGCAGCC